rnacentral:rRNA from 1 species
UACGUAGGGGGCAAGCGUUGUCCGGAUUUAUUGGGCGUAAAGCGCGUGUAGGCGGCCAGGUAGGUCUGGUGUGAAAACUCGAGGCUUAACCUCGAGAUGUCAUCGGAAACCAUCUGGCUAGAGUCCGGAAGAGGAGAGUGGAAUUCCUGGUGUAGCGGUGAAAUGCGCAGAUAUCAGGAAGAACACCAAUGGCGAAGGCGGCAUUCUGGACCGACAUUGACGCUGAGGAGCGAAAGCCAGGGGAGCAAACAGGG